rnacentral:rRNA from 1 species
AACGAACGCUGGCGGCAGGCCUAACACAUGCAAGUCGAGCGAGACCUUCGGGUCUAGCGGCGGACGGGUGAGUGACGCGUGGGAACGUGCCCUUUUCUACGGAAUAGCCUCGGGAAACUGAGCGUAAUACCGUAUACGCCCUUUGGGGGAAAGAUUUAUCGGAGAAGGAUCGGCCCGCGUUGGAUUAGGUAGUUGGUGGGGUAAUGGCCUACCAAGCCUACGAUCCAUAGCUGGUUUGAGAGGAUGAUCAGCCACACUGGGACUGAGACACGGCCCAGACUCCUACGGGAGGCAGCAGUGGGGAAUCUUAGACAAUGGGGGCAACCCUGAUCUAGCCAUGCCGCGUGAGUGAUGAAGGCCUUAGGGUUGUAAAGCUCUUUCAGCUGGGAAGAUAAUGACGGUACCAGCAGAAGAAGCCCCGGCUAACUCCGUG